GCCUGUGCUAUAAAAAGGGAAGCUACAAGUAGAGUGCAACUUCAGCAAAGGAUCGUAGCGCAAGAGUAACGCGGUCUGUCUGAAGUUUUAGAAGCUAUAGCCUAAAGAUAUUAGCCGGUCUGCGAUUAUUAGUCGGCAUGAAUACAGUCAAGGCUAUGAAAAAUGCAAUUGUCUGUCUUAUUUUACUGCCUCGCUUCUUCUUGGCAGCGAUAAUGCUGUGGUUUCUCGAUUUCCAUUGCGUAAGAAAGAGGGUCUUCCCCAAAAUGAAGGAACAAGAAGGAAAUAUUGUCGACCCCCCAGUAUGUAUUUCCGAGUCUAAUCGAAUGUUCAGCUGGGAGUCAAUCAAAGCCGUUUGGCAUGGCCAUAAACUGGACUUCUUAAAAUCGGCGCACCUUGGAUAUGUAGCGCCCAACACAGAAGUUGUGCAGCUCCGCGACCAGAGCUGCAACCGGAUUCUUGACUAUGCCAAAGACAAGCGACCGCUCAUUCUAAACUUUGGCAGCUGCACCUGACCACCGUUCAUGACACGCUUGAAGGCGUUCCAGCGUGUUGUGCAGCAAUACGCUGAUAUCUCAGACUCUGUCGUUGUUUACAUAGAGGAAGCGCACCCGUCGGACGGAUGGAUGAGCUCUGACGCUCCCUACCAAAUUCCCAAACACCGCUGUCUCGAGGACAGACUCAGUGCCGCUCAAAUAAUGAACCGUGAGGUCCCUGGGUGCCUUGUUGUCGCAGACAGCAUGGAUAACUCGUCCAACGCCGCAUAUGGAGCAUAUUUCGAUAGACUUUACAUACUUCAAGACGGAAAGAUUGUCUACCAAGGAGGUAGAGGGCCGGAGGGAUACCGCAUCUCUGAGCUGAGAGACUGGCUAGAUCAAUACAGACAAAGUGUUGGAAAUUCAAGAAAUGUCGUUAUUCAUGUCUAGAGUUUUAUAACAUUUUAGGCGUCACCAUUAAAUAAGUUAUGUCUCUACACAUUUCAUACACUGCAACUUUUCGACUUGAGAGUUGCGGCUCCAAUAAGGUGUCACAGGGACACACAAGCAUUUUCACUUGUGUUGUUUACCAGUGAUGUAUAUGUAGGCCUAUCCCAAUGGUUGCAGAAUUGCCUGUUUUAGUUGUAGUUGUUAUUUUGACCGUGGACAUCUCAACAUAUUACGUCAAUAGACGAUCGACUGCAAGGGUUUAUUUGUCAAAACCAGUUGUUCUGUGCUCCCAUAUUUGUCAUGUUCUCUUUAUGCGAAUGUUUGUGUGGAAAGUGUGAGUAAAGUAGGGUUUGCCAUGACCAAUUUAUUGCCAGUAUUUUUGUGAAGUUCGGUUUUUAAAAGGUACCUCACCAGAAAUCCGAUACUGAUGUUCUAAUGCUGAAGAUAAUGAUUGUGUGCAAUAUCUUUUUACUUGUAUUUUUGGUUUUGUAAAUAUGGUUAACUUUUUAUGGAGAUACUUUUAUAAUAAAAUGUCUUAUUCUA